rnacentral:misc_RNA from 1 species
CGCACAUUGCGCCCUUUGGUAUUCCGAAGGGCAUGCCUGUUCGAGCGUCAUUAUCACCCCUCGAGCCCCUGUGGCUUGGCUUUGGACGGUCUGGUUAGGCGACUGACCCCUCCUAAAGACAAUGACGGCGGCCUCGCAGGACCCCCGGUACACUGAGCUUCUUAACCGAGCACGUACCGGAUCGAGGGUCCUCGGGACACGGUCUCCUUUCUCCCCCUCCCCCGGGCGGGUGGGAAACAAAUCUUUCUAAGGUUGACCUCGGAUCAGGUAGGGAUACCCGCUGAACUUAA